rnacentral:RNase_P_RNA from 1 species
GGUGGCGGGCAGGUGGCCGCGGCCGGAGCUUCCGGUCGAGGAAAGUCCGAGCUCCGAAGAGCAGGGCGCCGGGUAACGCCCGGCGAGGGAAACCUCAGGGAGAGUGCCACAGAAAGACACGGCCGGCGGGGUUCCCGCCGGCAAAGGUGAAAUGGUGGGGUAAGAGCCCACCGGCAGCCGGGUGACCGGCUGGCCAGGUAAACCCCGCCCGGAGCAAGACCCAGCAGAGCCUCGGUGCCGGCACCGCCGGACUGCUCGUCCGGAACGGCUCGGGUGGGUCGCUGGAGGCGGCGGGAGACCGCCGUCCUAGAUGGAUGGCCAUCGCCCCUCGGGGGGAGCCCCGCCGUGCGGGAGGCCCGAGGGGGCACAGAACUCGGCUUAUCGCCCGCCCAACC